rnacentral:rRNA from 1 species
UUGAACGCUGGCGGCAGGCCUAACACAUGCAAGUCGAGCGGAUGACGGGAGCUUGCUCCUUGAUUCAGCGGCGGACGGGUGAGUAAUGCCUAGGAAUCUGCCUGGUAGUGGGGGACAACGUUUCGAAAGGAACGCUAAUACCGCAUACGUCCUACGGGAGAAAGCAGGGGACCUUCGGGCCUUGCGCUAUCAGAUGAGCCUAGGUCGGAUUAGCUUGUUGGUGAGGUAAUGGCUCACCAAGGCGACGAUCCGUAACUGGUCUGAGAGGAUGAUCAGUCACACUGGAACUGAGACACGGUCCAGACUCCUACGGGAGGCAGCAGUGGGGAAUAUUGGACAAUGGGCGAAAGCCUGAUCCAGCCAUGCCGCGUGUGUGAAGAAGGUCUUCGGAUUGUAAAGCACUUUAAGUUGGGAGGAAGGGUUGUAGAUUAAUACGCUGCAAUUUUGACGUUACCGACAGAAUAAGCACCGGCUAACUCUGUG